CUCACCGUGAGACUUCCGACUCACUACAACCAUGAAGUAUCUGUGUCUGUUCCUCCUGGUCAGCCUGAUGGCAGUGGUCAUGGCAGUCCCUGAACCAUUUGGUCACCAUGGCGGACAUGGAGGUAAU